UACGGAGGGUGCAAGCGUUAUCCGGAUUCACUGGGUUUAAAGGGCGCGCAGGUGGCUCUGUAUGUCUGCCGUGAAAGCAUACAGCUCAACUGUAUUGUGUCGGUAGAAACUGCAGGACUUGAGGCUGGGAGGGGCUGGUGGAAUUCCCUGUGUAGCGGUGAAAUGCGUAGAGAUCGGGAAGAACAUCGGUGGCGAAAGCGCUCUACUGGACCGCAACUGACACUCAGGGACGAAAGCUAGGGGAGCGAAUGGG
rnacentral:rRNA from 1 species